UGGACAUAUAUAAUGAUUAGCUACCAUAACCCAGGUAGUAAAUAUUAUAGGUAACAGAAAGGUUUUGAUUGAAGUUAUGCAGCACUGUCAUUGUGGCAUGAAAUCACCUGUACAUGGUAUGAAAAAACUGAAAAUAGUUAUGGUACAAUAAAAGUUUAUAGACACUGAAAUUUGAAUGUUCAUAUAUGAAAAAAUAUCAUUCUUCUAAUUUUUGUCAGGCCUUAGCACAUACAAAAAUACAUAAGCCAUACUAAGUACAUAGGCCAUAGUUUGUAGACCUUUUCUUUAAAGUAUGUGAUUAUUUUAGUUUUUAUAUUGUGAGCAAGUAAGACAGUAAGUCUGCUAAUGAUUGGAAAUUAAUGAGAUUAUAAGACCUCCAUGUCAGUGAGUAGCACGAGAAAAUGUUUUCAAAAACCUACUUAUAAAACUGAAGUGAUAGUAGUUUAAUAAAGGAAAGAAUAUAUCCCUAUAUUUGUUUUUCUUCUGUUAUUAUAUAUAAUGGGAGAAAACUAGUUUGUUCAGAUCCUAUUUUAUUGACAUUUUUGUAACAUAACAUUUAAGGAUGUGCAUCCCAAAUAAAACCGUUUACCCUUACCCAGAACUACUGAGAAUUGAAUUUCUCAACAUUCAAUAGAAAACUCCAUUUCCCAUCUCUCAUAUCUCAUUCUCUUCUAGGGACAUACUAUCUCCCUUUUGUUCCCAUAUGGUGCACUUUUUAAUCCAUCAGUUGGGGAGAGGUAUUGGGCUCUACGAAAUGGUCAUAGAACAGAGCCUUGGAACUAUGAAGUUUAAUCUCUCAUUUUCUCCAAUAAAAACUAUAGUUGACAUAUGAAUAUACGUGAAGCAAUUUGGGUACUCCUGGGUUGUCUUUUUGUCAUUAGAAUGAUCACUUCCCAAUGCUGCAUUUCAGCCAAGAAACUUAAACAUCUUUCUUUGUUUCAGUGUAACGAAAUUAUGUCCAUCUAUCACUUGGUGCGCAACAUCUUUUUGCCUUAUCCAUACAUUUAGGGGAUACUAGUAUGUGACUGGCAGAGUAAAAAUCUUCUGGCCAUGGAAGAAGACAACUACUGGGAUCGAACUCAGGUCCUUGUGCUUGUGCAGCAGGUGGUGAAACCACUGAGCUAAAUCCCUGGCCCCUAUAUUAAACUUUUUAUUUCGGGUAUACUGCAAGGGUGUUUUGAAUACCAGGUGACAGAAAGGUCAAAGUGCAACUGUUCUUCUCAUCCCAGACUAUUUUAAAGGCCUCAGAAGAGAGAUUUCUCCAUUUCUCACUUUCUGGGUGUUGCUUGUGGGAGAGAUGCCAGCCAGUAGGUGAGGCAGAACUUCACGGACAUGCAGUCUCAUGAUUUAUUACAAGUGCCAAUAAGACCUGAGUCAGUGGGCAAAGAAAAUGGUAUACUGUACCCUAGAGCUCAGUUGAAAUUAGAGGUACAAUUUGGGUCUUUAGUCUUAACUCAAAAAUUUUUUUCGUGACCUUUCGGUUGUGUUUACAACACAAAUUCCUUCUUAAUCUGUUUCACAGCCUAUCCUUCACCCCUCGGUGGAUCAAAACAGACCUUAUGUGAUUCAGCCUGUAGUUCACUUUGAAGUUUGAAUCAACAUUAUGAAAGCAUUGAUAAUACACAGAUGGGUAUUACUGAAACUGAAAAUGCGGGCAACAACAACAACAAUACAAGGAUCUUCAAGUUGUACAUUAAUAUUUGUACUAACAAUUUUCUAUCUGAACUAUUCACGUUGUGGUCUGGCAUCAUCUGAAGCUGUUAUUGGAGUAUGAGGUUCAAGGUAUGUAUUAUGGAUAAAGGAUGCAACCUCUUAUUUGGCUGUUCACUCCAGUACAAACUCUGAAGGGGAC
rnacentral:lncRNA from 1 species